rnacentral:rRNA from 1 species
GACGAACGCUGGCGGCGUGCUUAACACAUGCAAGUCGAACGGAAAGGCCCUGCUUGCAGGGUACUCGAGUGGCGAACGGGUGAGUAACACGUGGGUGAUCUGCCCUGCACUUCGGGAUAAGCCUGGGAAACUGGGUCUAAUACCGGAUAGGAGCCAUUUUUAGUGUGAUGGUUGGAAAGUUUUUUCGGUGUAGGAUGAGCUCGCGGCCUAUCAGCUUGUUGGUGGGGUAAUGGCCUACCAAGGCGGCGACGGGUAGCCGGCCUGAGAGGGUGGACGGCCACAUUGGGACUGAGAUACGGCCCAGACUCCUACGGGAGGCAGCAGUGGGGAAUAUUGCACAGUGGGCGCAAGCCUGAUGCAGCGACGCCGCGUGGGGGAUGACGGCCUUCGGGUUGUAAACUCCUUUCGCCAGGGACGAAGCUUUUUGUGACGGUAC